rnacentral:lncRNA from 1 species
CCUCUCUGUUAGACCAGGGAUGAGUCGACUACUCACAGCCUGCUUCAUGAGUCAGUUUUGAGAAUGUUAUUAUUCUACACAACACCCUUGACCUCUCAGAGUAGGUGGUGUAAGCAUAAAGGUUGCCAGGACGUGCUAAACUUUUCCUGAGACAGAGUCCAGUCAACAACUUUUACAGUCCUUCUGGACUGAGAUUUGCCUAACACCUACAAGAUGGUCAUGAGACAGUCAGCGGACUAGAAAUGUAUCGCUUCACUAGGUUUUCAGAUUGAUAACAAGAAGGUAAGCAACUGUGUCAUCCAGGAAGUUCCAAAGUCCAGAGUCCAUUCAGAGGCAACUACAGCAGCUCCCUUUCCUAGGUCCAGGAGUUCUCCCACCAAAUGAAGUCCAGUGGGGCGGCUUCCCGUAGCUAAAUCGAACAGACCACAGCCUGCCCAACUAAAAGCCAAAUGAGAGGGCAAGGGUCCCCAAGAGUCAUGGGACAACUGGAAAAGUCCCUACAGCUGUCACACACUGAAACAGAAAGCGUCUCCUGGCUGUGUGGAAAGGACAUCAAGGAAGCAUGUGGGGGUCAAGCCAGAAUCUGCAUGUUAAGCCAGCGAGGGUUUGUUCGGGCUUCCAGUUUAGAUGGAGAAUAAUGAUUUCUCUAUUAUUUUUGCUGUUUUGUUCAUUUGUUUGUGAAAAUAGAAGUUCUCUCUCCAGCCUGACUGCAUCCCUGCUCUUUAAUCCAUUGGAUGGUAAUUGAAACCUUCCAUUGCAGAGCUGCUCCUGAUGAGGGCAAUAUUGACCUCGUCCUCCCUGCUGUGGCUUCCCUGUGCAGGGCACCAUGGCCUUCACAGAUCGGAUGUCACUGUCCUUAAAAGGAAGAAUUCCAGCGCACUUGAGAGCUGGACGGAGCCAGUGAAGCAGCCCCUGAGAAGCUCCAGAUUUCCACCCACCAAAUUCUUCCAGGAGACCUGCUGCUGCAGGAUUCUUCAUGGUCCCUCACGUUCUGAUGUUCCUUGAGAGACCUCAAACAACCCUACAGUCUCAACUAUCACCAAUACGUUCGGGCUUCUCCAGUUCCUGUCUACAGUUUGAACUCCUCUAAAGCCCCAUGGGCCAACCUACUGGCCGUCUUUCCCUGCAGCCCACCAAACUCCAUGAUAUUAGGAAACCUCACCCAUCCUUUCAUCCAUGUCCCUAAAGCUCAUGUUCCCUUGGGAGUUCUGCAAUGAGACUCGUCACUCCUCCACUUUUAUAAUAUCUUCAAGGGCAAGAAAUACAUCUUGGUGAACUCUGACCUAAAGGGGAGUUGGAAAAGUCUUGAAAACCCUGACGAAUUUGGCACGUCUCCCUUCCCUUCUCCCACUGCUCUCGUGUCCUGGCAGUGAAGUAUACCAUCUCCUACAUCCCAGGACUGCUUCCAAAAGGACCUCAAGAUGGGAACAAGCCUUUUUCUCUCUCUCUUUGGCCCCAGGUGAAGAGCAGGGAAUCAGUCAGACAAAGAUGCCUACAGGCAGGCUACAGGUCAGACUAAGAUGAGGAAACGAGAGAAGCAGGGAGCAUCCACCCUUGAGGCCACCAAGAAGGGACCUACCUCUGUUCAUCAUCCUAAGGGCCUUCUUUCGCAGCUUUCAACUCAAUUUUACCCUGCUUCAGAACAGCUUUAACGGUAUAAUAAAGUUCUGCACUAGCAGGAAAAGAACUUUU